rfam:Vitis vinifera, whole genome shotgun sequence of line PN40024, unoriented chromosome 12, chr12
GCCAAUGAUGAUAGAAUCCAAUAUUUGGAGGUGUUGUGGAGCCAAGACCCUGUGUUUCAGGGAGAACCUACUUGGUGAAGCUACAUUCAAAUGACAUAAAUGGAUUCAGCUGAGGC